rnacentral:rRNA from 1 species
GACGAACGCUGGCGGCGUGCUUAACACAUGCAAGUCGAACGGAAAGGCCCUGCUUUUGUGGGGUGCUCGAGUGGCGAACGGGUGAGUAACACGUGAGUAACCUGCCCUUGACUUUGGGAUAACUUCAGGAAACUGGGGCUAAUACCGGAUAGGAGCUCCUGCUGCAUAGUGGGGGUUGGAAAGUUUCGGCGGUUGGGGAUGGACUCGCGGCUUAUCAGCUUGUUGGUGGGGUAGUGGCUUACCAAGGCUUUGACGGGUAGCCGGCCUGAGAGGGUGACCGGCCACAUUGGGACUGAGAUACGGCCCAGACUCCUACGGGAGGCAGCAGUGGGGAAUAUUGCACAAUGGGCGGAAGCCUGAUGCAGCAACGCCGCGUGCGGGAUGACGGCCUUCGGGUUGUAAACCGCUUUCGCCUGUGACGAAGCGUGAGUGACGGUAAUGGGUAAAGAAGCACCGGCUAACUACGUG